rnacentral:rRNA from 1 species
UACAGAGGGUGCGAGCGUUGUCCGGAAUCACUGGGCGUAAAGGGCGCGUAGGCGGCUCGGUCAGCGUGCGGUGAAAGCCCGGGGCUCAACCCCGGGUCGGCCGUGCGAACUGCUGGGCUGGAGCACUGUAGAGGCAGGUGGAAUUCCGGGUGUAGCGGUGGAAUGCGUAGAGAUCCGGAAGAACACCGGUGGCGAAGGCGGCCUGCUGGGCAGUAGCUGACGCUGAUGCGCGACAGCGUGGGGAGC